rnacentral:rRNA from 1 species
UACGAAGGGGGCUAGCGUUGCUCGGAAUUACUGGGCGUAAAGGGCGCGUAGGCGGCAUGCCAAGCGUGUGGUGAAAGCCCGGGGCUCAACCCCGGGUCGGCCGUGCGGACUGGCGUGCUCGAGCACUGUAGGGGCGGGUGGAAUUCCGGGUGUAGCGGUGGAAUGCGUAGAGAUCGGAAAGAACACCAACGGCGAAAGCACUCUGCUGGGCCGACACUGACACUGAGAGACGAAAGCUAGGGGAGCGAAUGGG